CUGAGGGAGAGAGAAAAGUUAUGCUUUCAUACUACAAAAAAGGCUGGUGGGAACAAAAAAUAAAUGCUCUGGCUUUCCUGUGGAAAAAAGAUUAUUUCUCUAUCCUCUUUGCAUGUGUAAUGCCUUAGGCUAUACAACAAAGAAGUAAGUGCCACUUUAUCUGGUACUGAACUGGCAAGGGGCCAUACCAUUCCUAUUAAAAAAAUAUAGUUCCUUAAAAUUUAUUCUCUCUCAGCUACAAUAAAUUUAGCACUAUCAAGGACACAAAUUCUAGUUACUCAAGUUUUCUGAAGGUUAUCACUCCACAUCAAGAUGACAGGAUUAGUUUAAAAAAAGAGAGUUGCUGAAGAGAAGUGUAAGCCUGAGAGUUGUAAUCUUGAGAGUUCAAGGAAAUAGCCACAGCUCUUAUGAAUUUUUCACUCGUCUUUUAAAAAUCUGCUAGGACACAUGCAAGUGUGUCCUAGAAACAAUAGAUGGAACAAAGGAACAAUAAGAUGCUACAAUGGCCAACAGAUAUUUUUAUGUUUUGGAGGUUUGAAUUUUAUUGUUCUAGUUUGUAGCUAAUGCUUAAAUACUUAAAAUUGUGAUUAGAUCAGUCUGAGUAAUGAUCCUGGCAGAAGUAACGAAACACAGGAAAUCAUCAACCACCACCCAUGCUCUUCCUAAUAUCACAUAACUUACUGUUUUCUUUGGUUCUGUUUAAAGUUUUCCACUGAUUGCUAGUUGCAAACUAGAGUUAAUGAUAACAAAAUACAUACCCACAAAAUUUAUAAUUUCUUUAAGUUCUAACCCACCCUACUUGCAAACUUCAACCUGGCUUUGAGGUUAGGCCUUGAUUUAGGCUUUGGUUUAGAAAAGUGUUGGGCAUGGAGUCUAUGUCAAUUCCUUAAGAAUCAACUACUGAAACUGCGUAGAUUGUGGGUUUAAAUAUUACCUUGAAGCUAAUUAAAUAUUGAAGAUCUCCGUGGAUGUAUCAGUAGACCUGAAUACAAUCCAGUUUAUAUGGGCCAUUCAGAACACAGAGUAAAAAAUUACUGGGACAGCCCAAAUUCCCAAAGGUUUAGUGUAUUACUUCUGUUUGUAUCUUCCUUUAAAAUUUCACUAAGCCAAUUAACACUGGCUUUUUUACCCUUUUUGUUCACGUAUUAUACUCACAGCUAAAGUCAGUCGAUCUCUUUCAACUAAAUCAGCUAGUUUAUUCAAGAGCCUUCCUCGCUCUGAAGCAUC